UCCUCGUUAACCGAGGCAGUCUCGUCUGAGAAGUACAACAGACGACGAGGGUUGCGCUCGUUGCGGGACUUAACCCAACAUCUCACGACACGAGCUGACGACGGCCAUGCAGCGCCUGUCACCGGUCCAGCAAACUGACUCCCAAGUUUCCAAGGGAUGCGACCGGGAUGUCAAACCCUGGUAAGGUUCUCCGCUUAUCGUCGAAUUAAACCACACGCUCCACCGCUUGUGCGGGUCCCCGUCAAUUCCUUUGAGUUUUAAGCUUGCGCUCGUACUCCCCAGGCGGGGUGCUUAACGCGUUAGCUUCGAUACCCAGAGGAUCUAUGCUCCAGAUACCUAGCACCCAUCGUUUACGGCGUGGACUAC
rnacentral:misc_RNA from 1 species